GCCUGCAAGCAGUGCAGGGUGCAUUCUGAAGCGGGAUUGAGAUACGAAACUUGUGGUCUUUCAUUCCUGAAUCGACUGGUACGGAAAGCGGACUGAUGUGGUAACGAGGUACUGAAUAUCAGAAUGAAACCCUUAGAACUUGGAGGGUGCUGAAUGCUGUCUGUUUUAGGAACAAGGCACUCUACCUCCAGUCUACGUCUCAAGGGGUUUUCGGGUGCUACGUGCCUUCGGAUCUGAGCGUGCGGUAGUGAACUCUGAUUGGAACCCCCUGAGAAUCUUUGGUGCUGAAUACUGUCUGUUGCUGCAACAAGGCACUGCACACAUCCUUUAGGCGUGCAGGGUCAGUUUGAUGCUGAAUAGCUCGAUCGCACACGACUACUUCCAAGUGUGUACGUUCGCUGAUCUACCCUACGCGGAUCCGGUUGCUCCGCUCCACAGUCCAUAACGCUGAUCUCACUCUACCCCGUGCUUUGAUUAUCUACUGGAUAGCAGGCAGCAGUACGUGCCGCGUAUUGCACCAUAGUGCUUGCGCUUGCGGUGCGAUGGAGCCGCGGCAACGACGUCCAUAUGCAUGACUAUGCUCUUGAUCGCUAGUACACAAGCGACCUGGCUUUACAAAUCAACAGCUGCGAUCAAAAGCGUCAUGGAAAGCACGAUUUCAAGGCUACGGGACGGAAAACCCGGUGCCGAAUCGUCCAAGUCCGACUCAUCGCCUCGUGAACGAGCCUUGACCCCUGUGAACGAGCCCACAUGAGCGCGUCUUUCGACCAGCAGCGAAACCUGGAAAGCCACAUCUACAGUUCUCACAGCGCUGUGAAGACCAGGCUGCGCGCUCUCGCACAUUGCAUCAGCGUACUUGCUGGAGACGAACUGUGCUUGCCGUUGCGCACUCAGUGAUUCGGGGUGCACCUGCGUUCUAGUGGCUCUCAUUCAGAGCCAACACGCUGCUUGUACACAGCCGUGCGUCCAUGAAGGGCAUCCCUGCACCGUGGCGGUCAAGUUGAUGCUGCCGCGAGAAAUGCCGCUCAUCGCCGCAAGGCCUUGUGCUCGUGAUGCAUAUCGAGGUGCUCCGAUCACGCUCUGCUUGCAGUGUUUGCAAUCGACGUAGCGUUUCCGAGCACUCGCCUGCCUCAAUUAGUGCCUGCAUACAUUGGUGGAACACCGGACUCCACACUUUUGCGCUGAGAUGCGAGCAAGUCGCCUUCAACAUGCUCGAAGACACAUGUGCCGUUUCCGCUCAGGAGUGGGGAUCCGAAAUGCAGCUGCGCGCAUCCUGAGCACUCCAAGCAACAACAAGUUUGAGCGAUUCUUCCCGAGAUGCCUCGCGCAGUUUUCGCGAGUCUGCCGCAUGGACCACUGUGGGCAGAGAUCGCGGCUCGAGGAGGUGCGUCCAGACUUGCCUUGCGUUCCCCGGAGUGUGCAUGGGCAAGCGACUUUAGUAUUGUACGGAACGGGUCAGGCUUUCUUCGAGCAAGGCUCAGAGCUAAACGGCUUCGUUGUGGCCUUGUCGACUUCGAGUCUGAGGAAGACGUUUUCGGUGGCGCGGUGCGGCGCAGCGCAGCGCAGCGUGUGUAGAAACGUUCGGCAGAAAGCACGGCUUCAUGAUAUCCCAGAGCAGUGUACGGUCUAGCGGGUUGCGACCCGCCGCGCCCCCGGGGGCGUCCGUUCUGUGAGGCAAGACGUGCUGCACGCCAAAGGCGGGGCACGGUGACGAGUCCCCGCCCCAUUCUAUCGCAAACCGCGUGAGCCAAUGCCCAUUGCAGCGUCAUUUUGUAAACGCAUAGCAGACACCU